rnacentral:rRNA from 1 species
AUACAGAGGGUGCAAGCGUUAAUCGGAAUUACUGGGCGUAAAGCGCACGUAGGUGGUUCAUUAAGUCAGAUGUGAAAGCCCCGGGCUCAACCUGGGAACUGCAUUUGAAACUGGUGAGCUAGAGUAUGGUAGAGGUAAGUGGAAUUCCAGGUGUAGCGGUGAAAUGCGUAGAUAUCUGGAGGAACAUCAGUGGCGAAGGCGACUUACUGGACCAAUACUGACACUGAGGUGCGAAAGCGUGGGGAGCAAACAGGAUUAGAUACCCCGGUAGUCC